AGUGGCGGACGGGUGAGUAACACGUAGGUAACCUACCCUUAGGCGGGGGGCAACCCCGCGAAAGCGGGACUAAUACCGCAUAAUUCCACUGGCUGGGAUGCUGGUGGGGAAAGUGGCGACACACCUAGGGAUGGGCCUGCGGCCUAUCAGGUAGUUGGUGGGGUAAGAGCCCACCAAGCCAGAGACGGGUAGCCGGGCUGAGAGGUUGAACGGCCACACUGGAACUGAGACACGGUCCAGACUCCUAAGGGAGGCAGCAGUGGGGAAUCUUGCGCAAUGGGGGAAACCCUGACGCAGCGACGCCGCGUGGAGGAUGAAGGUCUUCGGGUUGUAAACUCCUUUUCUUGGGGAAAAUGAUGAUGGUACUCAAGGAAUAAGCCACGGCUAACUCUGUGCCAGCAGCCGCGGUAAGACAGAGGUGGCGAGCGUUGUUCGGAAUUACUGGGCUUAAAGGGCGAGUAGGCGUCCUGGUAAGUCAGCUGUGG
rnacentral:rRNA from 1 species